rnacentral:rRNA from 1 species
GAAAUGCGAUAAGUAAUGUGAAUUGCAGAAUUCAGUGAAUCAUCGAAUCUUUGAACGCACCUUGCGCUCCUUGGUAUUCCGAGGAGCAUGCCUGUUUGAGUGUCAUGAAAUCAUCAACCUACAAGCUUUUGCGGUUUGUAAGGCUUGGACUUGGAGGCUUGUCGGUGUAAGUCGGCUCCUCUUAAAUGCAUUAGCUCGGUUCCCUGCGGAUCGGCUCUCGGUGUGAUAGUCAUCUACGCUGCGACCGUGAAGUGUUUGGCCGGCUUCUAACGGUCUUGUAAAGAGACGACAUAAUUGACCUCUGACCUCAAAUCAGGUAGGACUACCCGCUGAACUUAA